CCAGACUCCUACGGGAGGCAGCAGUGAGGAAUAUUGGUCAAUGGGUGAGAGCCUGAACCAGCCAAGUCGCGUGAAGGACGACGGUUCUAUGGAUUGUAAACUUCUUUUGUAGAGGAAUAAUGGCAGCUACGUGUAGCUGAGAUGCAUGUACUCUACGAAUAAGUAUCGGCUAACUCCGUGCCAGCAGCCGCGGUAAUACGGAGGAUACGAGCGUUAUCCGGAAUUAUUGGGUUUAAAGGGUGCGUAGGUGGCGUAUUAAGUCAGUGGUGAAAAGCUGCAGCUCAACUGUAGUCUUGCCGUUGAAACUGAUAUGCUAGAGAGGAGACGAGGUAUGCGGAAUGUGUGGUGUAGCGGUGAAGUGCAUAGAUAUCACACAGAACGCCGAUUGCGAAGGCAGCGUACCAGGCUCCGUCUGACACUGAAGCACGAAAGCGUGGGGAUCAAACAGGAUUAGAUACCCUGGUAGUCCACGCAGUAAACGAUGAAUACUAGAUUUUUGCGAUAUAGUGUAAGAGUCUAAGCGAAAGCGAUAAGUAUUCCACCUGGGGAGUACGC
rnacentral:rRNA from 1 species